rnacentral:rRNA from 1 species
AACGCUAGCUACAGGCUUAACACAUGCAAGUCGAGGGGCAGCAUGAACUUAGCUUGCUAAGUUUGAUGGCGACCGGCGCACGGGUGAGUAACACGUAUCCGACCUGCCGAUGACUCGGGGAUAGCCUUUCGAAAGAAAGAUUAAUACCCGAUGGCAUAGUUCUUCCGCAUGGUAGAACUAUUAAAGAAUUUCGGUCAUCGAUGGGGAUGCGUUCCAUUAGGUUGUUGGCGGGGUAACGGCCCACCAAGCCUUCGAUGGAUAGGGGUUCUGAGAGGAAGGUCCCCCACAUUGGAACUGAGACACGGUCCAAACUCCUACGGGAGGCAGCAGUGAGGAAUAUUGGUCAAUGGACGAGAGUCUGAACCAGCCAAGUAGCGUGAAGGAUGACUGCCCUAUGGGUUGUAAACUUCUUUUAUACGGGAAUAAAGUGAGGCACGUGUGCCUUUUUGUAUGUACCGUAUGAAUAAGGAUCGGCUAACUCCGUGCCAGCAGCCGCGGUAAUACGGAGGAUCCGAGCGUUAUCCGGAUUUAUUGGGUUUAAAGGGAGCGUAGGCGGACGCUUAAGUCAGUUGUGAAAGUUUGCGGCUCAACCGUAAAAUUGCAGUUGAUACUGGGUGUCUUGAGUACAGUAGAGGCAGGCGGAAUUCGUGGUGUAGCGGUGAAAUGCUUAGAUAUCACGAAGAACUCCGAUUG